UCUUUCCUUUUUUUUUCUUUUUCUUUCUAAUAACACAUAGAUGGGUUUUGAUGAUAUUUGCAACACUGGCCUAGUUUUAGGAUUAGGCUUUUCUUCCACAGCCGAUCACAAAUCAAAGAAAAUAACAACAACACCAUUAGGCAAAGGUCCGUGUGUUGGCUUUGAAGAACCUUCACUAACUUUAAGCCUAAUUUCCGGUGAUCGUACGUACGAACAACAGGCGAUGAAAAUUAGUAAAGAUCAUCAAUCUGCUGAUUUGUACAGACAAGAUAGUGCUGCCUCUUCCUACUCAAAUGCUAGUGUCAAAAGGGAGAGAGAUGUUGGUAGUGAAGAGACAACUACUGAAGUAGAAAGACUUUCCUCCAGAGUUAUUAGUGACGAAGAUGAUGAUGGAUCUAACGCUAGAAAGAAACUUAGACUCACUAAACCACAAUCUGCACUUUUAGAGGAAAGUUUCAAGAUACACAGCACUCUCAAUCCUAAACAAAAACAGGAUUUAGCCAGAGAACUCAAUUUAAGGCCACGCCAAGUUGAAGUUUGGUUUCAGAACAGAAGAGCCAGAACAAAACUGAAGCAAACAGAGGUAGACUGUGAAUUCCUAAAAAAAUGCUGCGAGACACUGACAGAUGAAAACAGAAGGCUUCACAAGGAAUUGCAGGAACUAAAGGCUCUAAAAAUAGCACAACCUUUGUACAUGCAGUUACCAGCGGCAACCUUAACCAUGUGUCCUUCAUGCGAAAGGAUCGGCGGCGGUGUUGGAGAAACUCCGUCGAAAAAUGCUUUUACUAUUGCUCAAAAGCCUCACUUGUACAGUCCAUUCAACAAUCCGUCGGCAGCUUGUUAAUGAUAAAUGCCAUAUAUAAAAUCAUGUUUAGAAAAAAGCCGCCACUUUUUUUGGUUAAAAGGCUUGUAUGACUAGUGCAGUUGUAUGUGUAGAGUAAUUAGAAUUAAGG
rnacentral:misc_RNA from 1 species